GCAAGUCGAACGGAGAUCUUAAAUAGCUUGCUAAUUGAGAUCUUCGUGGCGGACGGGUUAGUAACACGUGAGAACAUACCCUUUAGACAGUAAUAGCCCAUGGAAACGUGGAUUAAUGCCUGAUAGUCUCUACGGAGUAACUGGUGACUUCGGGUGCCGCUAAAGGAUUGGCUCGCGGCCUAUCAGCUUGUUGGUGAGGUAAAGGCUCACCAAGGCGACGACGGGUAGCUGGUCUGAGAGGACGAUC
rnacentral:rRNA from 1 species